CCUACGGGAGGCAGCAGUGAGGAAUAUUGGUCAAUGGACGAGAGUCUGAACCAGCCAAGUAGCGUGAAGGAUGACUGCCCUAUGGGUUGUAAACUUCUUUUAUAUGGGAAUAAAAUGUUCCACGUGUGGGCUUUUGUAUGUACCAUAUGAAUAAGGAUCGGCUAACUCCGUGCCAGCAGCCGUGGUAAUACGGAGGAUCCGAGCGUUAUCCGGAUUUAUUGGGUUUAAAGGGAGCGUAGGUGGAUUGUUAAGUCAGUUGUGAAAGUUUGCGGCUCAACCGUAAAAUUGCAGUUGAAACUGGCAGUCUUGAGUACAGUAGAGGUGGGCGGAAUUCGUGGUGUAGCGGUGAAAUGCUUAGAUAUCACGAAGAACUCCGAUUGCGAAGGCAGCUCACUGGACUGCAACUGACACUGAGGCUCGAAAGUGUGGGUAUCAAACAGGAUUAGAUACCCGUGUAGUC
rnacentral:rRNA from 1 species